AUGGCCAUGGACCAAGAGCUGCCGCUCGGGCUCGGCGACUUCUCCAUCGCCAUGGACGCCUCCUCCCUCGCCGCCCUCUGGCCCCCGACGCCGCUCCUCCCGCCGGAUCUCCAAUCUGCUUACCAAGACCAAGAGAGCUCUUCGUCGCCGUGGCGUGGCAUGCAGCAGAUCGUGGAGGAGGCGAGGCGGAGGCUGGCCGCGGCCACAGCAGAGCUGGAGGCGACCAAGGAGGAGGUGCGCCGCAAGGAGCAGAGCAUCGCCGCCCUGCUGGAGCUCGUGCGCCGCAUGGCCGACGAGCGCGACCAGCUCCAGCACCAGGUCCGGCAGCACCUGCUGCUGGCCCGCGAGCUGGCGGCCGCGACGACGUCCAGCAGCAGCGACUCAGGCGCGAGCUUCCCGACCUUCUCCCCGACGGCCGCCAACCCCUCCACCUUGCUCAAGGCCAGCGCCGCCGUUGAGGACAGGAGCGCACCAGUUGCUAUCGACGACGACAGGACCGCGGCGGUGCUCGAGCAGCUGGCGGCCAAGAGGCCGCUGCCACAGCAGGGGCAGCUGCUGCAGGCGGUCAUGGAGGCAGGGCCUCUCCUGGAGAACCUGCUGGUGGCAGGGCCAGUGCCGCAGUGGCGCGACCCGCCGCCGGUGCAGCCGAUCCCCAGCCCCGUCAUAUCGGCGCCUUCAGGCUCUCGUGCUCCCAUGGGCUGGGGCCAUGGUAGCAGCUCUUCUCUCUUUUUUUCUACUCAUCAACGAUACUAG
rnacentral:rRNA from 1 species